rnacentral:rRNA from 1 species
CCUACGCGUGGCAGCAGUGGGGAAUAUUGCACAAUGGGGGGAACCCUGAUGCAGCAACGCCGCGUGAGUGAAGAAGUAUUUCGGUAUGUAAAGCUCUAUCAGCAGGGAAGACGAUGACGUUACCUGACUAAGAAGCCCCGGCUAACUACGUGCCAGCAGCCGCGGUAAUACGGAGGGGUCAAGCGUUAUCCGGAUUUACUGGGUGUAAAGGGAGCGUAGACGGCAGGGCAAGUCUGGAGUGAAAGCCCGGGGCGCAACCCCGGGACUGCUUUGGAAACUGCCAUGCUAGAGUGCUGGAGAGGUAAGUGGAAUUCCUAGUGUAGCGGUGAAAUGCGUAGAUAUUAGGAGGAACACCAGUGGCGAAGGCGGCUUACUGGACAGUAACUGACGUUGAGGCUCGAAAGCGUGGGGAGCAAACAGGAUUAGAUACCCUGGUAGUC